rnacentral:rRNA from 1 species
UACGGAGGAGGCAAGCGUUAUCCGGAAUUAUUGGGCGUAAAGCGUCCGUAGGUGGUUGGCCAAGUCUGCUGUCAAAGGGAGGGGCUUAACCUCAUAAAGGCAGUGGAAACUGGCGAGCUAGAGUGCGGUAGGGGUAGGGGGAAUUCCCAGUGUAGCGGUGAAAUGCGUAGAGAUUGGGAAGAACAUCGGUGGCGAAAGCGCCCUGCUGGGCCUGCACUGACACUGAGGGACCAAAGAUAGGGGUGGGAAAGGG